ensembl:lncRNA
AUGCACACCAGCCAGGCAGGAGGAGCAAAACUCACACACCCACGCCAGCCAGCUAGCCUGCUGGAGUGCCACUCACUCACCCACGCCAGAAAACCAGCAGGAACACCACACACCCACCCACGCCAGCCAGCCAGGAGGGGCAUCACUCACCGACAUAUGCCAGCUAGCCAGCCAUCUGGAGCACCACUCACCCACCCACGCACACCAGCCAGCCAGCCGGAGCACCACUCACCCACCCACGCACGCCAGCCAGCGAGCCGCAGCACCACUCACCCACCCACGCACGCCAGCCAGCAGGAGCACCACUCACCCACGCACGCCAGUCAGCCAGCCAGCAGGAGCACCACUCAUCCACAAUCCAGCCAGACAGCCAGCUGGAGCACAACUCACCCACCCACGCACGCCAGCCAGCGAGCCGGAGCACCACUCACCCACCCACGCAUGCCAGCCAGCCGGAGCACCACUCACCCACGCACACCAGCCAGCCAGCAGGAGCACUACUCACCCAACCACGCACGCGAGCCAGCAGGAGCACAACUCACCCACCCAUGCCAGCCAGCCAGCCUGCAGGAGCACCACUCAGCCACGCACGCCAGUCAGCCAGACAGCCAGAGCAGCACUCACUCACCCACACCAGCCAUCGAGCCAGCCAGAGCGCCACUCACCUACGCAUACACGCCAACCAGCCAGCCAGCCGAAGCACCACUCACAUAUGCAUGCCACCCAUGGCAGCCAGCCGGACCACCACUCACCCACCAACGCCACCCAGCCUGCCAGCCGGAGCACCACUCACUCACCCACCCACGCCAAGCCAGCCAGACUGCCACAAGGACCACCACUCACCCAUCCAUGCACGCCAGCCAGCAGGAGCACCACUCACCCACCCACGUACGGCAGCCAGCCAUCCAGACGGAGCACCACUCACCCACGUACGGCAGCCAGCCAUCCAUACGGAGCACCACACACUCACGUACGCCAGUUAGCCAGCCAGCCGGAGCACCACUGACCACGCACGCAAGCCAGCCAGCGAGCCGGAGCACAACUCACCUACGCACACACACCAGCCAGCCAGCAGGAGCACCACUCACCCACCCACGCCCUCCAGCCAGCCAGCCGGAGCACCACUCACUCAGCCACGCCAGCCAUCGAGCCAGCAAGAGCCCCACUCACCUACCCACCCACGCCAGCCAGCUGGCCAGCCGGAGCACCACACACCCAAACACGCCAGCCAGCCAGGAGGGCUCACUCACCCACCCACGCCACCCACGCCAGCCAGCCGGAGCACCACUCACUCACCUACGCCAGCCAUCGAGCCAGCCAGAGCGCCACUCACCUACGCAUACACGCCAACCAGCCAGCCAGCCGGAGCACCACUCACCCACGCACGCCACCCACGGCAGCCAGCCGGACCACCACUCACCCACCCACGCCACCCAGCCAGCCAGCCGGAGCACCACUCACUUACACACCCACGCCAGCCAGCCAGCCAGCCGGAGCACCACUCACCCACCCACGCACGCCAGCAAGCCAGCCGGAGCACCACUCACCCAUCCAUGCACACCAGCCAGCAGGAGCACCACUCACCUACCCACGUACGCCAGCCAGCCAUCCAGACGGAGCACCACUCACUCACGUACGCCAGCCAGCCAGCGAGCCGGAGCACCACUGACCACGCACGCAAGCCAGCCAGCCAGCAGGAGCACCACUCACCCACCCACGCACGCCAUCCAGACGGAGCACCACUCACCCACCCACGCACGCCAGCCAGCCAGCCGGAGCACCACUCACUCAGCCACGCCAGCCAUCGAGCCAGCCAGAGCCCCACUCACCUACCCACCCACGCCAGCCAGCCAGCCAGCCAGAGCACCACUCACCCACCCACGCACGCCAGCCAGCCAGCCGGAGCACCAUUCACCCAGACAUGCCAGCCAGCCAGCCAGCAGGAGCACCACUCACUUACACACCCACGCCAGCCAGCCAGCUGGAGCACAACUCACCUAUGUACCCACGCGAGCCAGACUGCCACAAAAAGCACCACUCACCCACCCAAGACAGCCAGCUGGUUUAGCACUCACUCACCCAAGCCAGGCAUCGAGCCAGCCGGAGCGCCACUCACCCACCCACGCACGCCAGCCAGCCAGCAAGCCGGAGUAG